CUUCCGUACACUCCCUGCCAUGGUGUUCUGUCUCACUACAGAUCCAAAAUCAAUGGAGCCGACAGACCAGGGACUAAAUCCGCUGAAACUCCUCUAGUACCACAUGAGAAUGAAUACACAAAGAGGAACAGAAGUACCAGUGUCCUGAAUGUGGCUACAAAUGCAAGUGGAUCAACCAGCUCAAGUACCACAUGACCAAGCACACAGGACUGAGGCCAUUUCAGUGUUCUGAGUUUUCAGAGAUCGUCACACCCGCGAAGCUGUUUCUCCUCCACACGCAGCCGUGGAAUUUGGUGUGCAGUGUUUCCAGCAUUUGCAGAACCAGAUUCAUAGUGCCUCUCUCAGGAAGCGCAGCACCAGCAGAGGCCUUGGGGUUAAAUGACUCCUCUACGUUUGAAUAAUUCCUGCCUCUUGGUUCCCUCCAGCCCUAGAUGUGGUAGCAGCUCCCCACUGUUGCUGUCUUUGGGAUACUUUCAGGCAUUGAUUCUUGACUAGGGACAAAUUUGCUUCCUAGGGGACAUUGGGCAAAAGCUGGAGAGAUUUUGGGUUGUCACAAUUCAGAAGAGGCAUGGGAAGUAGUGCUACUGCAUCUACUGAGCUGAGGACAGGGAUGCUACCAAACAACCUACAAUGCACGGGACAGACCACACGACAAAGAAUUGUUCCAACCACAUAUAUUAGUAUCAAGGUUGAGAAGCCCUGUUUUUUACCCUUUCAGUUAAAAAUGAUAUGCAUAGUGAAAUGGUACACAUAGUUAAAAGAACUUUAUAUUAAAUUCUUUCUGAUCAAAUAA